AGCAGCCGCGGUAAUUCCAGCUCCAAUAGCGUAUAUUAAAGUUGUUGCAGUUAAAAAGCUCGUAGUUGAAUUUCGGGAUCAAUAUAUUGGUCGUGCCUCCGGUAUGCACUGGUAUCAUUGAUUUCUACCUUCUGACGAACUAUGAUGUCAUUAAUUUGGUGUCAUAGGGAAUCAGGACUGUUACUUUGAAAAAUUAGAGUGUUUAAAGCAGGCACACGCUUGAAUACAUUAGCAUGGAAUAAUGAAAUAGGACGUUUGACCCUAUUUUGUUGGUUUCUAGGAUCGACGUAAUGAUUAAUAGGGAUAGUUGGGGGCAUUAGUAUUCAAUUGUCAGAGGUGAAAUUCUUGGAUUUAUUGAAGACUAACUACUGCGAAAGCAUUUGCCAAGGAUGUUUUCAUUAAUCAAGAACGAAAGUUAGGGGAUCGAAAACGAUCAGAUACCGUCGUAGUCUUAACCAUAGACUAUGCCGACUAGGGAUCGGAUGAUGUUAAUUUUUAAUGACUCU
rnacentral:rRNA from 1 species